rnacentral:lncRNA from 1 species
UGUGUUUGAGCAGCAUUGAUGUGUUCUUGCACGAGUUCGGGGAAUUGGGGCGCUGAAGGGCACUCAUGAAUAGGGUGGGAUGGGCUAGAACAGAUAGUACACACUUGUGCUUGAGAAGAGUUAAUGAAAUGCCCACCUAUCAUCAAUUGGUCAAUCUUAUGGGACAAUGCAUCUACCUUGCUAGACAGGUCCAUAGAAUGACUUAUUUCACAAAUGGUCCCUUUUUUU